UACGUAGGGGGCCAGCGUUGCUCGGAAUUACUGGGCGUAAAGGGUCCGUAGGCGGUGUGGCAAGUCGGGAGUGAAAUCUCUGGGCUUAACUCAGAGGCUGCUUCCGAAACUGCCAUGCUCGAGUGUGAGAGAGGCGAGUGGAAUUGCGGGUGUAGCGGUGAAAUGCGUAGAUAUCCGCAGGAACAUCCGAGGCGAAAGCGGCUCGCUGGAUCACAACUGACGCUGAGGGACGAAAGCUAGGGGAGCAAACAGG
rnacentral:misc_RNA from 1 species